rnacentral:rRNA from 1 species
GAAUAUUGGUCAAUGGACGCAAGUCUGAACCAGCCAUGCCGCGUGGAGGAUGAAGGUCCUCUGGAUUGUAAACUUCUUUUCUCUGGGACGAAACCCCCGAUAUCUAUCGGGCCUGACGGUACCAGAGGAAUAAGCACCGGCUAACUCCGUGCCAGCAGCCGCGGUAAUACGGAGGGUGCAAGCGUUAUCCGGAUUUACUGGGUUUAAAGGGAGCGUAGGCGGGCAGUUAAGUCAGUGGUGAAAUCUCUGGGCUUAACCCGGAAACUGCCACUGAUACUAUCUGUCUUGAAUAUUCUGGAGGUAAGCGGAAUAUGUCAUGUAGCGGUGAAAUGCUUAGAUAUGACAUAGAACACCCAUUGCGAAGGCAGCUUACUACGGGAUUAUUGACGCUGAGGCUCGAAAGCGUGGGGAUCAAACAGGAUUAGAUACCCCAGUAGUC